ensembl:lncRNA
AUGAAAAUAGCAGUGGAAGUUGUGAUUAUGGCCAACAGAAAUCGGAAACUGCUGCGAGGUCAUUGGCCUGGUACCCAGCACUGGCCUAUUAGCUGUCAUUAGCCCUUAUCCAGGAAACAAUUCACAUUCUUGAAAUCCUUAGGAAAUUGGAUUUCUGCCCACAGAUUCAUCACCCUGCUGUUUCUCGUGGAUUAAAGUGCCAGGGGCCUAUGAGUGACUGCUCUGUGUGAGCAGAAAGUGCGAUCCUCUGGCCUAGAAGUGGGCUGGGUUGCUCUCCUAGAAACUGUGUGGCCCGGGCUCAUCUUAUGACCGGAUGGAAGAGACUUUAUGAGGGUAUCUUGUCUCAUCUCCUGCCCAGCAGAUUUCAUUCUCCCUCAAAGCUGGGAGAUUGUAAAGUUUCCACUGGAAUUUGACAACGUCCCAGAGAAUUCAACAGCUAUAAAGAGACACUAGCCGGCCACCCGUGCAGCGUUCCUUUGUGGCAGACAAUGGCACUUGGGAAAUGCCACACGCAUUAGAAGCAGACGUGGAUUGUCUGAGGAGCCUGUGCAAUGGAAACUCCAACUGAAAUCGCACAGGAUCACGAACAUUCUACUUACUUCAAGGGGCUGGAAGAGAGAGGAGGAAGAAAAAGCCUGAGCGUCAUUUUCCGACAGGCCUGGGCUGCUAUAAAUACGCGCAAGGCCGCAGCGACAGCACGGGUGGGUGGGAGCUGUAUGGGUGCCUGGCGAGCUCUGCUUGGGCCAGCUCCCUGCCUCGUCUUUGGCAGAACUGAGUGCUGGAGGGUUGACUUUGUACGGGGGGAGUCUGAGGUCCCUAUUUCCAUUGUGCACCCCCGGUGUCUGGAAGGGAUGGUGGUCUCUGCUAAUUCAACAGCGGUGGGGGCUGUUCACGUGGAGGAUGUGGGCUUCGUUGUGGACUUGGAUCUGGUUGGUUGGGGAGAUGGAGUGGGGCCUCCAGGACCGCAUCCUGUUUUGCUUUGCAGAAGCCUCAGAGGGCUGGGAAAGAAGCUGUGAAAUACACACAGUUUAACAGAUGCUGCCACAGUUUAACAGAUGAGGAAACAGAGGCAGCAAGAGAGAGUCACACAGAGAGAUAAGGGUUAUCAAGAAUUAUUUGGUUGUUUACAGGAGAAACCCACUGGGACAAGGCUGGAGUUAUGACAAGGCUAAGGCUGUAGGGCAGGAAGUGCA